rnacentral:lncRNA from 1 species
UGUUUGAUUUUUUUCCCUCUCAAUUUGUUUGUAAGAUGUGUUAUUGGGGAAUUAAGAAUUGUUUGUUCAUAAGUAGGGAGAGGAAGCCCUGCAUUUGUUUUAACCUUUUUUUUAUCUUUUUAUUUUUGUAAAUAAUAUUGGGUUCGUGUUGAUUUUUAUUUCUCAUUGCAUUGAAUAAAUUGGAUUCCUUCUAUUCAAUGGAUUCGACAAUUUCAUGUUGUUAUACCACUAAAGAUUACAAUACAUCAAUAUGAUACUUCACCGCGUUAUGAUUUUGCGAAUGACAUUAACCAUGUUGUCAUUUUGCACAAACCGGUUUGAGAACACCGAUUCAAUUAAAUAAAGCGAC